GAUGAACGCUAGCGGCAGGCUUAAUACAUGCAAGUCAAGGGGUCAGCAAUGGCACCGGCGGACGGGUGAGUAACGCGUACACAACGUACCUUUAACUGGGGGAUAGCAUCUGGAAACGGGUGGUAAUACCGCAUGUGGUUGCGAGGAGGCAUCUCUUUUGUAACUAAAACUUAGGUGGUUAGAGAUCGGUGUGCGUCUGAUUAGCUAGUUGGUAGGGUAGAGGCCUACCAAGGCGACGAUCAGUAGGGGGCGUGAGAGCGUGAACCCCCACACGGGUACUGAGACACGGACCCGACUCCUACGGGAGGCAGCAGUGGGGAAUAUUGCGCAAUGGGGGAAACCCUGACGCAGCGACGCCGCGUGAGGGACGAAGGUCUUCGGAUUGUAAACCUCUUUCAGCAGGGAUGAAGCGAAAGUGACAGUACCUGCAGAAGAAGCACCGGCUAACUACGUGCCAGCAGCCGCGGUAAUGCUACGUAG
rnacentral:rRNA from 1 species